rnacentral:lncRNA from 1 species
GGUGGUGCGUGUCAAAGAUUGGCCAUGCAUGUCCAAGAUGGUGUGUGUCCAAGAUGGUGGUGCUUAUCCAAGAUGGUGGUGUGUUCAAAGAUGGUGGUGUGUGUAAAAGAUGGCCAUGCACUGUCCAAGAUGGUGUCUGGUCCAUAGAUGGUGGUGCUUAUCCAAG